rnacentral:lncRNA from 1 species
GCGCCCGGGGCUUCGAGGGCAUCGCGCGGCGCCUGUGGCCGCAGCUGCAGGUGGUGGUGCUGGGGAUGGCGCAUGGAGGGGAGCGGCUCUACUGCGAUGCCCUGCGGCAGGAGGACUGCAAGGGGCUCCCCUUCUACUGCCCCUUCUACCGGGCGGCCGGAGGUGAGUGUCCCCGGCCGGGGACCCGCUGCGGGGACCCACCGCUGCACGGCAGCGCAAACCCUCCUCGCCCUACCCCAGGAGCGGUGCAUCUCCCUGCAACGCUCCUCGACGGAGACCCGCGGGCUUCUCCGAAAACGGCCGCGUUUGGGACCGUUUCCUCCCCUCGGAGCGGGCGAGUGGGGCGCCGGCGGGGCCGGGGUUCUCCGCUGACCGGCACCGCCUCUCCGCGCAGCGCUGCUCGGCGUGAACCUGUGGCCGGAGGAGCUGAGCGCCCGCUUUCUGCUCUGCCCCGACUGGGCCUUCUGCGAGUUCCUGCCCUGCGCGGCUGAGGAGGCGACGGCGACGGCGACGGCGCUGCUGGGGGAGCUCUGGGAGGGCCGGGAGUACGGGCUGGUCCUCACCGCCCGGCCCGGCGAGUACAGGUGCCGCGCGGGAGAGGUGCUGCGGGUGGCCGGGUUUCACAAGCAGUGUCCCGUGGUGGAGCCCGUGCGCAGGGAGAGCCAGACGCUGAGCGUGCGGGGCGAGAGCAUCCCCGAGGAGCGGUUUCUGCAGAGCCUGCGCCGCGCCGUGGCCCUGUGGCCGGGGGCUCGCCUGGUCGACUACGUGUGCGUGGAGAGCGUCCUGCUGGGCGCCUCCUCGGGGGCCUGCGCCCCCCAUUACCAGGUGUUCGUGGAGCUGCGGGGCCUGCGGGACCUGUCGGAGGGGCAGCGCUACAAGCUGGACCACUGCCUCCAGGAGGAUUUCCCCACCUACAAGUCCUUCCGCUUCAAGGGCAGCAUUGGGCCCCUGCGGCUGCACCUGGUGGCGGCGGGGGCCUUCGCCCGGCUGCGGGAGGCCGCGGGCCGCCCCCGGCCCAUGCCCAGGGUGCUGCGGGAGAGGCGGCUGCUCGCCGCCAUCCAGAGCGCCGUCGUCUCCUAGGGCGGCCCGGGCUCCCCGCGGCCUGGCUGCCACUCGGAGGACGCGCCCCGCGGCCGGCACGGCCCGUCCUUGCACGGCGAGGGCCUGGGGACCCGCCAUGCGCGGCGGUGGGGCAGCGCUCGAGCACAUCCCGCCCGGCACCCCGGCUCCGGACGGCAGGGGCUGCCCGGUGGCACAGGCGCUGCCGGGCCCUGCCGAGGCUGCAGCGCGGAUGCGGAGGGGCGCGUGGUUUCCCCCCCCGCGCGGGGACACAAGGCAGCGCCCCRAUAACCCGCCGAGCCCCGCUGCCGGGUUGGGGCCAGACCGCGGCUGCUCCCACGUGGGAGCCGCCUCUGAGCCGGGCUCCAGGGAAUUUCCGCUGGUUUAGGAAACAAUAAGGGCUGCUUUUAAUAUUAAAAAAAAAGAAGUGAAAUAAAGGAGGAUUAUCUCUCA